ACAGCUCUUCUCGGAAGCUACUGCAUAGCUAGCUAGCAGCCACCUGUCUUGUAAAGGGACCAACAGCCAUCCCCGCACGGAUCAAUAUUUUAAUGUGACUUAUCAGGCUGGCUUGUUUACUUAAAAACUCCGGAUCCCAUAAAGGCCAAGAGGGAGUCAGUUUUGGAAACAGACGCUCUGAACACACACCCUAGCGUUGUAAAUAGAUAGGGCCUAAAACAUAAAACUGAGAAUUGUUAGAGACAUAAUGAAGUGAUCGGCUCUCAAGAGGAAAAGUUUAAGGCAACCAAAGAACAAAUAAGAACAAAGGAAAAAAGAGGACCAAUGCAGCCGUAUGCAAUGGUAUCUGUGGUUGUAAUUCUAUACAUCCAUGUUUUUUCUUUCAUCUCCCCAAGGCCUCACUCCUGCUGGAGCUGUGGAGUGUGACAAUGGUGUUUGUAUCCAGUCUGUCAAACGCCAUUAUCACACUAAAUAGCUACUGUUAGAAAAGUCGUCAAUUCGCAGAAAGAAAACAAAGAGAAUUCUUUGAGUAACAUCCGUUCCUUGCAAAGCAGAAAGAAGACAACAGUACCAUGUCAUGACAACUCUUUGCUUUGUGAUGCCAAAAUCUCCUGAAAUAAAAAAUAUGCUCUGCUUUUCUGAAAGUACACAUUGUAGUCCAACUUGUUCUGUGGAGAAGUACAUGACUCAUGUUUAUAUUCAU